AUACGUAGGUGACAAGCGUUAUCCGGAUUUACUGGGCGUAAAGGGCGUGUAGGCGGUCUUGCAAGUCAGAAGUGAAAUUCCUGAGCUCAACUCGGGCGCUGCUUCUGAAACUGCAGGACUUGAGUGCUUGAGGGGAUAGCGGAAUUCCUAGUGGAGCGGUAAAAUGCGCAGAUAUUAGGAAGAACUCUGAUUGCGAAGGCAGCUUACUAAGUUAUAACUGACACUGAAGCACGAAAGCGUGGGUAUCAAACAGGAUUAGAUACCCUGGUAGUCCACGCAGUAAACGAUGAUUACUAGCUGUUUGCGAUAUACAGUAAGUGGCACAGCGAAAGCGUUAAGUAAUCCGCCUGGGGAGUACGCACGCAAGUGUGAAACUCAAAUGAAUUGGCGGGG
rnacentral:rRNA from 1 species